ACCCUUAGAUGUCCUGGGCCGCACGCGCGUUACACUGAUGCAUUCAACGAGCUUAUAACCUUGGCCGAGAGGCCUGGGCAAUCUUGUUAACGUGCAUCGUGAUAGGGAUAGAUUAUUGAAAUUAUUAAUCUUGAACGAGGAAUUCCUAGUAAACGCAGAUCAUCAAUCUGCAUUGAUUACGUCCCUGCCCUUUGUACACACCGCCCGUCGCACCUACCGAUUGGAUGGUCCGGUGAAGCCUCGGGAUUGUGGUUCUUGCCGCUUUGUUGUGGCGUGACCGCGAGAACUUGUCUAAACCUUAUCAUCUAGAGGAAGGUGGAGUCGUAACA
rnacentral:rRNA from 1 species